rnacentral:rRNA from 1 species
GCUGGCGGCGUGCUUAACACAUGCAAGUCGAACGGAAAGGCCCUGCUUUUGUGGGGUGCUCGAGUGGCGAACGGGUGAGUAACACGUGAGUAACCUGCCCUUGACUUUGGGAUAACUUCAGGAAACUGGGGCUAAUACCGGAUAGGAGCUCCUGCUGCAUGGUGGGGGUUGGAAAGUUUCGGCGGUUGGGGAUGGACUCGCGGCUUAUCAGCUUGUUGGUGGGGUAGUGGCUUACCAAGGCUUUGACGGGUAGCCGGCCUGAGAGGGUGACCGGCCACAUUGGGACUGAGAUACGGCCCAGACUCCUACGGGAGGCAGCAGUGGGGAAUAUUGCACAAUGGGCGGAAGCCUGAUGCAGCAACGCCGCGUGCGGGAUGACGGCCUUCGGGUUGUAAACCGCUUUCGCCUGUGACGAAGCGUGAGUGACGGUAAUGGGUAAAGAAGCACCGGCUAACUACGUGCCAGCAGCCGCGGUGAUACGUAGGGUGCGAGCGUUGUCCGGAUUUAUUGGGCGUAAAGGGCUCGUAGGUGGUUGAUCGCGUCGGAAGUGUAAUCUUGGGGCUUAACCCUGAGCGUGCUUUCGAUACGGGUUGACUUGAGGAAGGUAGGGGAGAAUGGAAUUCCUGGUGGAGCGGUGGAAUGCGCAGAUAUCAGGAGGAACACCAGUGGCGAAGGCGGUUCUCUGGGCCUUUCCUGACGCUGAGGAGCGAAAGCGUGGGGAGCGAACAGGCUUAGAUACCCUGGUAGUCCACGCUGUAAACGGUGGGUACUAGGUGUGGGGUCCAUUCCACGGGUUCCGUGCCGUAGCUAACGCUUUAAGUACCCCGCCUGGGGAGUACGGCCGCAAGGCUAAAACUCAAAGGAAUUGACGGGGCCCCGCACAAGCGGCGGAGCAUGCGGAUUAAUUCGAUGCAACGCGUAGAACCUUACCUGGGUUUGACAUGGAUCGGGAGUGCUCAGAGAUGGGUGUGCCUCUUUUGGGGUCGGUUCACAGGUGGUGCAUGGCUGUCGUCAGCUCGUGUCGUGAGAUGUUGGGUUAAGUCCCGCAACGAGCGCAACCCUUGUUCACUGUUGCCAGCACGUUAUGGUGGGGACUCAGUGGAGACCGCCGGGGUCAACUCGGAGGAAGGUGGGGAUGACGUCAAGUCAUCAUGCCCCUUAUGUCCAGGGCUUCACGCAUGCUACAAUGGCUGGUACAGAGAGUGGCGAGCCUGUGAGGGUGAGCGAAUCUCGGAAAGCCGGUCUCAGUUCGGAUUGGGGUCUGCAACUCGACCUCAUGAAGUCGGAGUCGCUAGUAAUCGCAGAUCAGCAACGCUGCGGUGAAUACGUUCCCGGGGCUUGUACACACCGCCCGUCAAGUCAUGAAAGUUGGUAACACCCGAAGCCGGUGGCCUAACCGUUGUGGGGGAGCCGUCGAAGGUGGGACUGGUGAUUAGG